GAGGGUGUAGCUCAAGUGGUAGAGCGCAUGCUUAGUAUGUACGAGGUCCUGGGUUUAAUCCCCAGCACCUCCA
rfam:Camelus ferus unplaced genomic scaffold scaffold15685, whole genome shotgun sequence.